UACAGAGGGUGCGAGCGUUGUUCGGAAUUACUGGGCGUAAAGGGCGCGUAGGCGGCGUGACAAGUCACUUGUGAAAUCUCCGGGCUUAACUCGGAACGGUCAAGUGAUACUGUCGUGCUAGAGUACAGAAGGGGCAACUGGAAUUCUCGGUGUAGCGGUGAAAUGCGUAGAUAUCGAGAGGAACACCUGCGGCGAAGGCGGCCCACUGGAUCGGUACUGACGCUGAGGUGCGAAAGCGUGGGGAGCAAACAGG
rnacentral:rRNA from 1 species